GACGAACGCUGGCGGCGUGCUUAACACAUGCAAGUCGAACGGAAAGGCCCCUUUCGGGGGGUACUCGAGUGGCGAACGGGUGAGUAACACGUGAGUAACCUGCCCUUGACUUUGGGAUAACUUCAGGAAACUGGGGCUAAUACCGGAUAGGAGCUCCUGCUGCAUGGUGGGGGUUGGAAAGUUUCGGCGGUUGGGGAUGGACUCGCGGCUUAUCAGCUUGUUGGUGGGGUAGUGGCUUACCAAGGCUUUGACGGGUAGCCGGCCUGGGAGGGUGACCGGCCACAUUGGGACUGAGAUACGGCCCAGACUCCUACGGGAGGCAGCAGUGGGGAAUAUUGCACAAUGGGUGGAAGCCUGAUGCAGCAACGCCGUGUGCGGGAUGACGGCCUUCGGGUUGUAAACCGCUUUCGCUCAUGACGAAGCUUUGUGUGACGGUAGUGGGUAAAGAAGCACCGGCUAACUACGUG
rnacentral:rRNA from 1 species